CGCCGCCACUCACCCGCGCGCCGGCCGAGCCGAGCCGCCGCCGCCACCACCGGGCCGGGCCGGGUCGGGCCUGCGCGCCCCGCGCUACACAAAGUGACGGCCCCAGAGCUGCGCGGCGGCGGCGCGUGGGCACCGGAAGUGCCGCCGCCGGCCCCGCCCCGCCCGCGCACACGGGGGGGGCACUUCCGGUCACGCGGGGUCGAGCGCGGCUCCCGCAGGGGGCGUGCGUGGGGGCAAAGGAAGCUCCGCGCGUGCGGGGGAGCCUUUCGGCCCCGGCCCGCCCCGGGGGACUUCAGUGUCCCAUGCCUGGGGACCGCAGCGCCCUCUGACCCGAGACCCCAACCCCGGGGACCCCGGUGCCCCCUGCCCCGAGACCCCGGUCCCACCCCUGGGGACCCCAUCGCCCCCUGCCUCCAGACCCCAGCCACACCCCUGGGGGCCGCAGCGCCCCCUGCCCCGAGACCCCGGCCCCACCCUGAGGGACCCUGCUGCUCCACCCCUGGGCACCGCAGCUCCCGCUGCCCUGGAGACGCCGGCCCCACCCCUGGGGACCCCGGCGCCCUCUGCCCCUUGAGACGUGCGCGAGGUCCCGCGGCCCUGAGCGCGCGCGCCCCGUCCCGAAACCCGGCUCCCCUUCCUCAUCCGACCAUGAUUCAGGGAGCGGCUGCUGGCUGCCAGACCUGCCCUCGGCACCCUCCCCAGGCCCCACGACGAUGGAGGGAGGCGAUGACCCCCUACGGGGUCUCGUGGAGGCGUCCCUCUGGCCAGCGUGCUGUGAGACUCAGACGAGGUGGGGCGAUCCCUGGCCGCUGAUGGAUCGCCCAGACUGGAACCAGUGGGCCCGGGGUCCACAGCUCACCGGCCCUGCUUCCUGGGCCACUAGUGCGGGCAGGGCCAACGCUGGGUAAGCGUCGGGGAGGGUACCCCGGAAUGGGGGAGGACGAGGACUGAAGGAGCCAGUGGGCCGGGUACCUGAGUGAGUACAAUAAGGAGCGCGGAUCCCCGGGAGGGACGGGAUCAGGACGUGGGGAGGGUCCGCCUCUGGGAAGGGAAGGCAGAAGCCAUAGGUGGUCGCUGUCGGAGCUGUGAGAAGGUGAGGUCAGUGGGCUCAGGGGCCACCUGCGGCCCUCCCCCAAAUCUGUGUGCAUCCACCCCCAGGGAACCCAGCAGAGUCUGAUGGUGAGCUCUUGCUGCCACCGAGGUCGCGCCCUUUUUCAGCCUGGGUGCAGCCCCACUCAGGAAUGGUGUGGCCCCGCUCCUCCCCCAGCUCCCACCCUACGGAUACCAUUGCUCUUCUAUUUUCUGGAGUGUCCCCAGCCUUGGACCCUCAAGACAGGCAGCAACCUGGCUGGGCCCGGGGCAGGUUCACAGCUUCUCCCCUGCGGAACCUCAACCCCGACCUGGUGGACUUCUCAGGCCCACGGAGGACUCACUCCUCUGACCCGCAGAGGGCUGCAGCUCCCGCCCAAGCCAGCCUUGCCCAGCCCAAAGCGCCAGCCGCCUGCCACCUCCAACAUCUCGAUGAUUGUGUUUGGUUCCUGGUGUUUUAAAAACGGUUUAAAAUUAAUGACUAACACUUACAAAUUGAGAGUCUCUUGUAAAAAGAUUUGAAAAAUCAGAAGAUCUGGCAACACGGAGCCCGUGCUUUGCAGGGCGCCGGUCACAGGGGCUGCGAAGUGACCAGCCCCUGUGGAUGAGGCUGGACUGUGCCUCUCCCUUUAAUGCCCGCUUCUGCAUGGCGCCUCCUGUCUGGUCCUUUGAGUCUCUACGAUUUGGAGCCCCAGACGGUAUCUUAGACAGUUCUCUACCCUUCCCCCCAAAAUGGUUCCAAUAAGAGGAUCUGAAUGCAGGGUAACUAACAAGAGGAGGCCAGGUGAAGGCCAGUACCAGGAGUGGGGGCACCAGAGACUAGCCCCUGGGCCUGAAGGGGUGGGGCAGGGAUGGAGAGGGCUGGAGGAGUGGAGAUGGGGUCACCCGGUGGGAGCUGUGAUUGUGGGGGAGGAGUGUGACUACCCCGCCGCUCUCCCCCACCCCAUCCUGUCAGCACUGUCCACUGGCCAAUCCUCAUCCUAAUCUGGAGGCCAAGGGAGCCCAGGGGAUGUGGUCACAGCCAGAGCCUAGAGCCAGGUAGACAACAAUUGGGGGGCCAGGUGGGGACAGGGAAGCACCAACUCCGUCCCUGCCUUAGAACCUUCCACCUUGUCAGACAGGGACCCCACGUCACCCCAGCAUCUCCUCAGAUCUCCUCUUGGCCUGUCCCCACCUGAUACCUAACCCAGGACCCGGUUUCUUCCCCUCUCUUCUCUGCAGAGGUUUUCGAAGGCACCAGGCUCGCCCCUCAACAGGACCUGCCCUCCAUGAGGUUGUCUCUGCCCAAAUCUCCCCCUCAGCUGACUGCAGUCCUCCAGAGGCCAAGCAGAGAGCUGCUACCCGUGGGCCCCUUGGUUUCCUCCCCUCUCGAAGGGUCUCCUUCCCACAGCCCCUGGGAGCCUGUCUUUCCUCUGGUCCUGUGACAGGCAGAAUCCCCAAACCUCAUCCCGCCCAGGUCACUGAGUGAUACAGGCAUGCGGAGGCCCCACGCUCUGCCCAGUUCAGUGUCUCCCAGGUCAGUGUGAGGCUUGACCUCCCCACACCAGGUGUCCCCUCCCCUGUCCCACAGCUGUGACUUCAGGAGCAAGAUGCACUCAGGUAGACCACACACUGUUCUGUGAGAAUGAAACCCAAGCCGCUUGCUAGGAGCCCCAUAUCUGUGUUUAUUUUACAUCAAAUACAUAUGAUUCCCCGCUUUUGUGACCCCACCUGACCCCGUUCCUUCCGGGUCUGCUCUCCACCGGACCCGGGUUGCAUGCUUGAGUGUGGGCCUUGCCAACGGCCUCAGACUGGCUGAGCCUCUGCAGAUGACCCUCCCCUGGGCCCGACGUUGCCUUUGUACCUACUCGGGGUAGUGCUAGGCUGUCCCAAAUGGGCCACACCUGGGCCUCUCAAGUCCUAAAGUCAGCUGGCCUUGACCCUUCCAGCCACCUAAGUGCGGAGCUCCCAGGGUCAGGGCUGGCUGCCCCAGGCACCUGUGGGCUUGGCCCCUGAUGGGUGGGCCUCCCUUCACACGGUGCUGGAGAGCAGGGGAGCCUGGUUCAGCCUUGACUCUCCCUCUAUCCCUCCCCUUUACUCCCUCCUGCAGCCAUGUUCCGGAAAGUGCCGUGUGCUUGACUGCUUGGGUCUUGGGAAUCUCACAGUCCUGCCAAGGCCUGGCCACUGGCCCUCCCUGGCUGCCCCUUCCCGGGGGUUCUCAGGUCCUCAGCAACAUCCCUCACUCCCUCCGUGGCCAGCAGCCUGAUCCCUGCUUUUCCUCGGUUCUCAUCGGGGAUUCUUGAUCGGGGUGUGUGCUCACUCGUUCCCACGCAGCGUGUGCCUCUCACACCCAUCGAGUGCUGGGCCCCGUGCUCACUCCAGGGGUUCCUGCGGAGCUCAGGCCCUGCUGUCUAAUCAGCGGGGAGGGCCAGGGAGAUGGACGCCUUCCUGUGGGGUCCCGCGGCUCACCAGGCCCUAAGACUCGUGUGUAGAGGGGUGUGAGAACCCGAUGGGGGGCAGAAGGGCUGCGGAUUGAGGCAUGAAAGCUGAUGGGCGAUCCCAGUGCUCUUGGGGGGGAGAGGUUAGCAGGGGUGGGGACAGGCAAGAGCAAAAUGGAGCAGGCCACCAGGGCUCCCUGCGUUCCCAGGACUGCCUGUGGUGAGGGCAGGCUCAGCUGAGGCACCAGCCCCACCCACAGGGAGACGCCAUUCAGGGCCGCGUACCACGCGGGCUCCCAGAACUCAAAAUUACCAUCGUGCCUGGCAGUGGCAGAGAGCCCUUUGAUAACAAGGGUAAACGCAAAGGUGCCAGUGUUCCAUGCUAUGGAUGAUUGGGAGUCGGUGGGAUUUGAUGCCAUUUUUUGACGUUCUGGGCUGGGAUCUAUCUGUGAUCAAGUCCUGCCUCUGCGAGGGACAGCUGAUGGGCCAGAAACACGAGGAACGUCAGAGGAAGGGACCCACUCCCACUCGAGGCCUCUGCCAACAUGAGGCAGCCCUGGGAGAGAGAGAAGGCGAGUGAGCCUGUAUCAGCAGCUGGUGCACCCUCCACCCAGCUGCUUAUGAGCCAAGAGGAGAGAGGUGACUGGGAGUGUGUCCCGGAGCAAGGCCUGCCCAGGCCUGUGCACGCUGAGAGAGCAGGAGGCAACAAGAACAAGAAAAACACCCAAACUGGACAUCGCCACUCAGCCCAGCCAGCGACUGACCUGUUAGUCAGCAGCUUUUUCCCUCAAGGGCACUCAGAAGGGGCUCCCGAGGUGGGCUGGGCAGAGGGGAGCAGCAGCCCCUCCCAGACACAAGGGCUCGCCUCGGUUUGAGCUCCUCCUGCCCCGUGCUGCCUGGGGCAGGGGACAGCAGUGAGGGACUUGGGGCCUCCAGGGCUGGAGGAGGGCAGGUCCCAAAGUCCCAACUGUGAGGAGCACCCUGAGAGCCAGGAACUGAGGGAAGCAGAAAUGGGACAGGUGGCAUUUCCGCCACGCCUGAAGGACAGCUAGAGCCUGGGACACAGUGGAGGCAGGGGAGACCUGGCCGGAGCAGGGGCCUGGAAGUGGGGAGCUUGGGGCAAGACUAGGGGUCUGGAGUCAUCUUGGGGCUGGAGCCUCACAUCUCAGUGGAGGGCCCGUGGCAGCAAGCAGCCACCAAAGGCAUCAAGCACGUGGGUCAUGAUUUGCCAAGAUGGAUGGAUGGAGGUGGGGGUGGGGGGGUGCAUGGCAGGGGUUCAGGUGGGCAGCAGGAAGCUGUCCAAAGGCUAUUGAGGUAACCCAGAUGGAAACUGACAAGACUUGAAGGUGACAGUGUCUUAGUCCAUUUGGGCUGCUGUCACAAAGACACCAAAUGCUUCGCUUAAACAACAAGCAUUUCUUUCUCACAGUUCUAGAGGUUGGGAAGUCCAAGAUCAAGGCGUUGGCAGAUCCAUUGUCUGUCACCUCCACGGAUGCUGCUGGAAACCCACGGGUCCGCUGGGUCAAGGUGCCCCUCUGGCAGCGAAGACGGGGAGAGGAUACCUGUACAAACUUCCAGGACUAGAAGAGGAGCCUCUGCAAGUGAAGACCCAGGGUGGCAACGCGCUUGGGUGGCGCUCUCUGCAGGUGGCCAUCCGCAGGAACUGGGGUGCACGCAGAACCUUUGUGAAUUUCCACGCUCAGCAUGGCACGUUUCUUACCGGUGAAGAAUGGAAAAACCAGCUCCCGAAGACAAUGGCUGAGAUGUGAGGUGUAUCUGUAUUGCUGGGAAUUAAAGUCGGACUCGCA
ensembl:lncRNA